GAUGAACGCUGGCGGCGUGCCUAAUACAUGCAAGUCGAGCGAACAGACGAGGAGCUUGCUCCUCUGACGUUAGCGGCGGACGGGUGAGUAACACGUGGAUAACCUACCUAUAAGACUGGGAUAACUUCGGGAAACCGGAGCUAAUACCGGAUAAUAUAUUGAACCGCAUGGUUCAAUAGUGAAAGACGGUUUUGCUGUCACUUAUAGAUGGAUCCGCGCCGCAUUAGCUAGUUGGUAAGGUAACGGCUUACCAAGGCUACGAUGCGUAGCCGACCUGAGAGGGUGAUCGGCCACACUGGAACUGAGACACGGUCCAGACUCCUACGGGAGGCAGCAGUAGGGAAUCUUCCGCAAUGGGCGAAAGCCUGACCGAGCAACGCCGCGUGAGUGAUGAAGGUCUUCGGAUCGUAAAACUCUGUUAUUAGGGAAGAACAAAUGUGUAAGUACCUAUGCACGUCUUGACGGUACCUAAUCAGAAAGCCACGGCUAACUACGUG
rnacentral:rRNA from 1 species